GAACGUCGCCCCCGAGGGCUCCGAUGUCGCUGCGCAUGCGUGAGCUGAGAGAAGGUGAGAAAGGAGAACAACUCUCCUUUGCCGGAUGUGACGUCACAUUAUUGUUUGUUUUUUGCUUUUUGAAAUAGCUACUCUCGAACUCAGACACUAUGGUUCGCGCCUCGUUCGCGCGCGCAUUGUGAGCAUUCAAGUUUCGUUUUUUGCACUUGCUUAGUAGCUGAAAUUGCGGACAUUGCAGGGUUGGGCUUGAUGACAUUUGUUGCUCAGCUGCCGCGACACAUUUGGAGCAAAGCUUCUGCUUAUUUCCUUUGGCCGCACCUUAUAUUUGUUGUCUUUGUCAACAUCUGACCUGUUUCUGCCUUGUUGAAAGCAAGUGGCCACAAGUACUGCUUAGUUUGCUCAGUCUAAACCUGGUAGUGCAUCCAGUUUAGCGCCGUGCACAUGUGUACGGACGCGUGCACGGACGUAACGCUGCUGCCCAUCGCGAGUCGUAAGCGAAAAAAAAAGGCCGACUGAAAAAAAACAACAAGAAAUAAGCUGCACGAUCAACAGAUUUUUGAAGAGACCGUUUCAACAGAGAUAUCUGAAGCAGAUCGUUAUUGGAUAUGAAGAAAUGUGCAGUGGAUAACAGCAAAACAUGUGGUAACCGACUGACUGACGGUAGUAAGGCUCACAGCCUAAGUUUUUCACUAUUUACACCGAUAAUGUAGCACGUAUUUGCGCAAUUAAAUCACCUGCUAUGCGCAGCAACCGCACUCAAUUGAAGCCGCCAACGCAGCGAUGCACCAUUUGCUAUUUCAGGAUCACGAAAAACAAUGUAUUCACCGAAGUACAGCGGCGGUUGACCUGUCGGCAAGCUGUUAAUUCACAUAUGGCGAAAGCAAAUGUCACGGAGUCCAAGCCCACGAAACUGCGCUCGCAAGAAUAUCGCGCACGCUUGGGCCUUUCCGACAUGCACAAUAGCGCACGCAGAGCGUGGUGCAGCCGACACCCGACAUUCGUGACUGAUCUACGUUCGAGAGUAGCUAUUUCAAAAAGCAAACAAAAAAAAAGAAACAAUGUGACGUCGCAUCCGGCAAAGGAGAGUUGUUCUCCUUUCUCACCUUCUCUCAGCUCAGGCAUGCGCAGCGACCACGGAGCCCUCGGGGGCGACGUUCAGGUUAUACGAACGUCCGUGAAAGCAUUGCUUUCGAGCAAACCUUUUCAAAUUAAGUUUUCGCUCAUGUCCACGAGAUAGCAAAUUUCAGGGUUACAUUAGCCGCUAUAUUUUCCAAUUUCAUGUGACCUAGCUACCUCAGGUUGCAUUUACGCGCCGAGGCUUUUAACAAAAAUAGUUGUCAGCUGAAAAUCAAAGCGGUGGUGCCACUAUUUGGAUGUUGUGAUAUUUGUGAAAUUGAUUAUAUUUUUCCCCUAGUCAUGCUAAACUACUUACCGGUCACAUGCUUGGACUUCUGAAGGAGCACUUGAAAGGUUUUCCUUCCAACCCAGUAUUGUAACUGACGCCUGUCAGAGGUAUGAUAGUGGUAUUUGCCCUGCAGCACUGCCAUGAGUUCAAGAUCCAGAUGUGUCUCAUGUAAUAACUGUGCUCGCCGACUGUCUCUAUCCUUAUGUCACUAGAAAGUACAAAGGAUACAUUUCUGAAUUGUUGCAACAUUUAUUUUUCGUUAAAUGCUCAAAAUAUUUUUUUCUUUUCCUGAUCAAUAAGGACUUGCACAGAUUGCAGAUUUGCAUAGUUUGAAAAAAGUAUUGCAUAGUGGGCCUGUAGGUUUUUUUGAAUUUAUUGUUACCCUUCAGACUGGCCAAAUAUGUUGACAGCAACAGCGAAUACCUCCUUGCUGUAUUUGCAUUUCCUUGGAAUGUCUGUUCCGUGUUCUUCAUAACAGUACAUGGUGCCAUUUAGUUUUCUACCGUGUCGAAUUGUGCACUGACACUUUCAAGUGAGCAAGUGUAGGUUUGUAUUGCAACGGAAAUAACAACAUGAGUGCUUCUUCAAUUGUCUUCCAUCACCGCCUUGCUAGUGCCUUCUUCAAUGUGCAAGAAUGGCUUGUAACAAUAUUGUUAAGUGUUUCAUGUGAGGAUAUGGAAUACAAUAAUUUUCUCUUUUUCUCUGAACAUAUUCAGCCGGAAAAACAUGUUGACAGCUAUGCCUUUUUCAUGUUGGCCAUAGCAUUUUGUAGAUAAUGGUGUGACAGCUUGGGAAGUGUCUGAAGAGUAUUGUUAGUUGGUGCAUAAUCAUAUUGUUGCUACUGGGAGGAUCACAGGCACUUUUUUUUCAUACUAUUAACAUGUUUCCAUUUUUC